rnacentral:rRNA from 1 species
AGCGGCAGGCCUAACACAUGCAAGUCGAGGGGUAGGCUUCUUCGGAGAGCACACGACCGGCGCACGGGUGAGUAACGCGUAUGUAACCUUCCUCUUUCAGGAAGAUAGCUCCCGGAAACGGGAAUUAAUAUUCCAUAGUCCAUAAUAAUCACAUGAUUAGUAUGGUAAAGUUCCGACGGAAAGAGAUGGACAUGCGUGUCAUUAGUUAGUUGGUGAGGUAACGGCUCACCAAGACGACGAUGACUAGGGGUUCUGAAAGGAUGAUCCCCCACACUGGUACUGAGACACGGACCAGACUCCUACGGGAGGCAGCAGUGAGGAAUAUUGCGCAAUGGAGGCAACUCUGACGCAGCCAUGCCGCGUGCAGGAGGACGGCCCUACGGGUUGUAAACUGCUUUUCUUAACUAAGAACCGUGGAUAAUCUUAUCCACCUGACUGGUAUUGGAAUAAGCAUAGGCUAACUCCGUGCCAGCAGCCGAGGUAAUACGGAGGAUGCAAGCGU